rnacentral:rRNA from 1 species
CCAAGUCAGGUGGGACUACCCGCUGAACUUAGCAUAUCAUA